GAAACGUCAGUUUUGCUAUCGAAACAAUACCGCGGAACAGUAGGAGGCCUGAAGUUGGAAGCAAGUGCGCGUAUUUACUACGGCCGGUGAGAAAAAUGUGCUGUAGUCAGUGUAUGCUCCCGAAAAUAAUUAUUUUGCCGGGAUUAACCAACAUAUAAAUCCUUGCAUUCUCAAGUAAGUACCCAAAUGAUGGAGGACCAAGAUAACUUUAUUU